rnacentral:rRNA from 1 species
GACGAACGCUGGCGGCGUGCUUAACACAUGCAAGUCGAACGGAAAGGCCCUGCUUUUGUGGGGUGCUCGAGUGGCGAACGGGUGAGUAACACGUGAGUAACCUGCCCUUGACUUUGGGAUAACUUCAGGAAACUGGGGCUAAUACCGGAUAGGAGCUCCUGCUGCAUGGUGGGGGUUGGAAAGUUUCGGCGGUUGGGGAUGGACUCGCGGCUUAUCAGCUUGUUGGUGGGGUAGUGGCUUACCAAGGCUUUGACGGGUAGCCGGCCUGAGAGGGUGACCGGCCACAUUGGGACUGAGAUACGGCCCAGACUCCUACGGGAGGCAGCAGUGGGGAAUAUUGCACAAUGGGCGGAAGCCUGAUGCAGCAACGCCGCGUGCGGGAUGACGGCCUUCGGGUUGUAAACCGCUUUCGCCUGUGACGAAGCGUGAGUGACGGUAAUGGGUAAAGAAGCACCGGCUAACUACGUGCCAGCAGCCGCGGUGAUACGUAGGGUGCGAGCGUUGUCCGGAUUUAUGGGCGUAAAGGGCUCGUAGGUGGUUGAUCGCGUCGGAAGUGUAAUCUUGGGGCUUAACCCUGAGCGUGCUUUCGAUACGGGUUGACUUGAGGAAGGUAGGGGAGAAUGGAAUUCCUGGUGGAGCGGUGGAAUGCGCAGAUAUCAGGAGGAACACCAGUGGCGAAGGCGGUUCUCUGGGCCUUUCCUGACGCUGAGGAGCGAAAGCGUGGGGAGCGAACAGGCUUAGAUACCCUGGUAGUCCACGCUGUAAACGGUGGGUACUAGGUGUGGGGUCCAUUCCACGGGUUCCGUGCCGUAGCUAACGCUUUAAGUACCCCGCCUGGGGAGUACGGCCGCAAGGCUAAAACUCAAAGGAAUUGACGGGGCCCCGCACAAGCGGCGGAGCAUGCGGAUUAAUUCGAUGCAACGCGUAGAACCUUACCUGGGUUUGACAUGGAUCGGGAGCGCUCAGAGAUGGGUGUGCCUCUUUUGGGGUCGGUUCACAGGUGGUGCAUGGCUGUCGUCAGCUCGUGUCGUGAGAUGUUGGGUUAAGUCCCGCAACGAGCGCAACCCUUGUUCACUGUUGCCAGCACGUUAUGGUGGGGACUCAGUGGAGACCGCCGGGGUCAACUCGGAGGAAGGUGGGGAUGACGUCAAGUCAUCAUGCCCCUUAUGUCCAGGGCUUCACGCAUGCUACAAUGGCUGGUACAGAGAGUGGCGAGCCUGUGAGGGUGAGCGAAUCUCGGAAAGCCGGUCUCAGUUCGGAUUGGGGUCUGCAACUCGACCUCAUGAAGUCGGAGUCGCUAGUAAUCGCAGAUCAGCAACGCUGCGGUGAAUACGUUCCCGGG